UACGGGGGGAGCAAGCGUUGUUCGGAUUUACUGGGCGUAAAGGGCGCGUAGGCGGUCAGCACAAGUCAGUUGUGAAAUCUCCGGGCUUAACUCGGAAAGGUCAACUGAUACUGUGCGACUAGAGUGCGGAAGGGGCAACUGGAAUUCUCGGUGUAGCGGUGAAAUGCGUAGAUAUCGGGAGGAACACCAGUGGCGAAGGCGGGUCUCUGGACAGUUCCUGACGCUGAGGCACGAAGGUCAGGGGAGCAAACAGGAUUAGAACU
rnacentral:rRNA from 1 species